ACCCGUUACUGUGCGAGGCCUAGCCCGACUAGGAAGGUGGAGCGCAUGCGUGGUGUCUUAUCUUCUCCCUCACUCUCGGCUGGUUCAGUCACUCCCUGUCCCUUUUUCUUUGCUCUCUGUCUCCUGCUCUCCCCUCGCUGGCUAGGGUUUCUUUUGCUGGUGCUCGGAUUCAGUGACCCGCUGCUUGGAUCCGUGGGGAGAUCUGCUUUUUUCAGGCAUGGUCUGCCCUGUUUAUCGUUUCCCGGGUGCUCCGUGUGUGCCAGUUGCAUUUGCUGGCCAACACAUGUACAUCCCCUGCAAUCUGAGAAAUGUCUUAGCUGAGUAUAUUGAGGAGUAGAGAGACGAGGCUAGGACUCUGCAGUUCAAGAAGGCGGAGCCUGAACUUCUUAGGUUUGAAAGCAGGACUUACCCAGCCACAUUCAAGCACCGAGCAAACUACAGCAAGUUUGUUGGUAGUUCAUGGUUUGACUUCACCCAUGACUAUGGCCUGUGUGCUGGAGAUCUGUGUUUACGCCGGACCAUCUGACUUUUGAUGUGAAGAGCCAAACCUACCGUGGUGGUGAAAGAAUUCUCCCUCUGCCUUGUGUUGCUUUUGAAAACCUAUCCGAUGCCAAUUAUGAGUAUGCUAUUUAUGUUGUAUUGCCGCGCAAGUUGUUGUUCAACUACCAUAAGAACCGCUACUUACUCCAUUGUCUUUUGUUGGGCAAUUUCCUGCGGUGUGUGCCUUUCAUCCAUGUCAUGACUCCCACUAACACAAUCAAGAAUAUCAUGAAAAUUCCAAAAAUUGUUGUGUCAAGCUUGAAGAGAUUCAUGGAUGUCCCUCUAAGUGCAUCUGUCACUCUUGAAUAUCUGGAUGAAGGUGUGCACGUCAUCACGUCAUUUCAUACACUUUGUGCAGACAAGAUGGGAGGAUGAUGUUCGAGAAGACAAGUUUCAAUGAGUUCAUAUCAGCAGCUUCUUUGGGUGAAGACAAUGUUGUGCUCAUCACAUUCAAAGAACGCAAUGAUCGCUCAGUUUCUGUUGUGUUCCAGCGGCUCAUGCAGGUGGAGUGUUGCGCGUUUAGAGUCUGAACUUUAGAUCGUUGAAACCCGAACUUUUUUAUGUGUAAUUAUCUAUGACUCUAUGGUUAGUUGUCUAGAUGACUGUUUGAUGAUAGAAGUAGUGGUGCCUCUACGUAUCCAAGUUCAGACUUUAUACUUUUGGAUGCAAGGAUUACCGAACGGUAUAUCUUUUGAUGGUUAAUAUGUCAAGUUUUAAGGAACUGUAUGGUUGAAA